rnacentral:RNase_P_RNA from 1 species
GCCAGAGUCAAUCUAGCAGAGGGGGUACACGUGCUCAGGGUACUUAGUUACCGCGAUGCUCUACCUCGGGAAGGUCUGAGAUAAAGUCGGCUCUCCGGACGAUGGGUGUUUCUUGGAGAGGACGCUCUAGAAGGGCGAUCCCGUAAAUGGGGAUGUGGGGAAACCAGAAACAGCGGUAAAACCAGCCUCUGUUGCCGUGGACGCCAGCACGAUUUUCUCCUUCUUUCUGUCUCUCUCUUUCCUCCCUCUCGUUCAUUUUCACGUUUCCUCUCUAAGCUCUCUCCCUCCGUCAUCGUUCUCUUCGUCUUGGAAAGAGAGAGGAGAGACUGGGGAAAAACUGGCAGAGGUCGGCCGGUCAUACCGAUGGAAAUUCCCGCGACUCGCAAUUUCAGUACAAUCUGCAAGCCGUCCCUUCAUACGUAGCCACGCUCGUAUUUCGUGUACGCGCCGAAGCGAGGGGGGAGGGACGGAACUCAAUUCAGACUAAUCUGACUCUGGC